rnacentral:rRNA from 1 species
UCCCUACGGGAGGCAGCAGUGAGGAAUAUUGGUCAAUGGCCGAGAGGCUGAACCAGCCAAGUCGCGUGAGGGAAGACGGCCCUACGGGUUGUAAACCUCUUUUGUCGGGGAGCAAAGCGAGUCACGUGUGACUCAUUGAGAGUACCCGAAGAAAAAGCAUCGGCUAACUCCGUGCCAGCAGCCGCGGUAAUACGGAGGAUGCGAGCGUUAUCCGGAUUUAUUGGGUUUAAAGGGUGCGUAGGCGGAAUGCCAAGUCAGCGGUAAAAUCGCGGGGCUCAACCUCGCUCCGCCGUUGAAACUGGCGU